rnacentral:rRNA from 1 species
AUUGAACGCUGGCGGCAGGCCUAAUACAUGCAAGUCGAGCGGACGAAGGGAGCUUUUUCUUGGCUUCCGUUGCCGACGGGCGUGUAAUGCCUACGUAUCUGCCUGGCAGUGGGGGCUAACGUCCGGUCACGGGCGCUAAUAUCGUACCCGUUCUGAUGGUGAACGUCGGGGUUCUUUGGUCCUCACGCUUUUUGCUGUGCCUAGGUCGGAUUAGCUAGUUGGUGAGGUAAAGGCUUACCAAGGCGACGAUCCGUAACUGAUCUGAGAGGCUGAUCAGUCACACUGGAACUGAGACACGGUCCAGACUCCUACGGGAGGCAGCAGUAGGGAAUAUUGCGCAAUGGGCGAAAGCCUGAUGGAGCCAUGCCGCGUGAGUGAAGAAGGUCUUCGGAUUGUAAAACACUUUAAGUAGGGAAGAAGAAAAGUAAAAGAAAACCUGGCUGUUUUGACGGUACCAACAGAGAAAGCAACGGCUAACUACGUG